rnacentral:rRNA from 1 species
UGAGGAAUAUUGGUCAAUGGACGCAAGUCUGAACCAGCCAAGUAGCGUGCAGGAUGACGGCCCUAUGGGUUGUAAACUGCUUUUAUAUGGGGAUAAAGUGGGGAACGUGUUCCCUUUUGCAUGUACCAUAUGAAUAAGGACCGUCUAAUUCCGUGCCAGCAGCCGCGGUAAUACGGAAGGUUCGGGCGUUAUCCGGAUUUAUUGGGUUUAAAGGGAGCGUAGGCCGUUUGGUAAGCGUGUUGUGAAAUGUAGGAGCUCAACUUCUAGAUUGCAGCGCGAACUGUCAGACUUGAGUGCGCACAACGUAGGCGGAAUUCAUGGUGUAGCGGUGAAAUGCUUAGAUAUCAUGAAGAACUCCGAUUGCGAAGGCAGCUUACGGGAGCGCAACUGACGCUGAAGCUCGAAGGUGCGGGUAUCGAACAGG